CCUAGCCGUUUCGUGUUCCUCGCCCUCAGCCCCUCAACCUCGCGCCGUCGUGCGGCCUUCUCUCCUGCCGGUCGUCGCCCGCCGCGUCGCUUCGCCACCUCACCCUCCUCCUCCGAUCGUCGCCGUCGCCGCCUCGCCCUCCUGCAUCCAUCGUCGCCGCCACUCUUUCCUAGCAAGGCCAUCGCAUCGCAUCAGCGUGAUGGCCCCCGUCCUACUCGCCGGUUGAUGUGCCCACACGGAGAUGGUGUAUGCAAUCUCCUCACCUGCCACCGCACUGCCACUGCCGCCGCCGCCGCCGUCGAUCGUCGUCGUUGCCGCUGCCCCUAUUGUCCUCUCCGUUGCAGCUAGAGGAAUUGGCCUCUAUGGCCUGCUCUUGCCUCGGCAUCCGCAUGGAUUAGGGCUUUGGGCACACCAAGGUCCAGCCUUCAACGGCAUCUCCGCCUCGACCAUGCCCUGGUAAGCUCAUAGAUCCAAUUUAUCCAGUCCGGACUGGUGCUCACUCUGCAGCAUGACCCUAAACCUUCGGUGAAUCCAUGGAAUGAUCCUCUAAUUCGAAUCACCCACGGAAAAGCAAUGGCAUCAGCUCACGUGCAAACUACUGUGGCUUCUAUUUGAAGUUUUCCUUGCAGGUCCAAUAAUAGAUAUAAACUUGAGACUAUUUCUCUGAAUGAUGCGUGUGCUUAUCUUCUAUCCAAGUCAGUUGAUCUACAGUCGAGGAGAUUUCUUCUUUGAGCAACGAGGUGUCACGAAGAGCAUAGCUAUACGGAAAUGUAGAAUGUUUCCCUUGAAGUCAAUGUUUCUGUGGUUCUUUUGCCUCUCCGAAGAUUCAGAAAAGGGAGGAAGAGUGCUUCUUGGCUCCCCGAAAGAGAUGAAUCCUAGGAUCCUUGAGUUUUUUUCUAAUCUAUUCUACAGUAUGCAGGCACGAUAUAUAUGUUUCCACGUGUGGCUACUACUUUUGUCUAAGUGCACAUUAUUAUACAAAUAGACUGGAAAUUAUUGGAUAUUGGUUGCAACAUAAAUUAUUUCCUCACGUAGUGUUGACUACCAUAUCGAUGUUUA